rnacentral:rRNA from 1 species
AGUGAACGCUGGCGGUAGGCCUAACACAUGCAAGUCGAACGGCAGCACAGUAAGAGCUUGCUCUUACGGGUGGCGAGUGGCGGACGGGUGAGGAAUACAUCGGAAUCUACUUUUUCGUGGGGGAUAACGUAGGGAAACUUACGCUAAUACCGCAUACGACCUACGGGUGAAAGCAGGGGAUCUUCGGACCUUGCGCGAUUGAAUGAGCCGAUGUCGGAUUAGCUAGUUGGCGGGGUAAAGGCCCACCAAGGCGACGAUCCGUAGCUGGUCUGAGAGGAUGAUCAGCCACACUGGAACUGAGCCACGGCCCAGACUCCUAGGGGAGGCAGCAGUGGGGAAUAUUGGAAAAUGGGCGCAAGCCUGAUCCAGCCAUACCGCGUGGGUGAAGAAGGCCUUCGGGUUGUAAAGCCCUUUUGUUGGGAAAGAAAAGCAGCAGGUUAAUACCCCGCUGUUCUGACGGUACCCAAAGAAUAAGCACCGGCUAACUUCGUG